GAGCAACCUGCCCUGGACUCUGGGAUAAGCGCUGGAAACGGUGUCUAAUACUGGAUAUGAGCCUCUAUCGCAUGGUGGGGGUUGGAAAGAUUUUUUGGUCUGGGAUGGGCUCGCGGCCUAUCAGCUUGUUGGUGAGGUAAUGGCUCACCAAGGCGUCGACGGGUAGCCGGCCUGAGAGGGUGACCGGCCACACUGGGACUGAGACACGGCCCAGACUCCUACGGGAGGCAGCAGUGGGGAAUAUUGCACAAUGGGCGGAAGCCUGAUGCAGCAACGCCGCGUGAGGGAUGACGGCCUUCGGGUUGUAAACCUCUUUUAGCAGGGAAGAAGCGAAAGUGACGGUACCUGCAGAAAAAGCGCCGGCUAACUACGUGCCAGCAGCCGCGGUAAUACGUAGGGCGCAAGCGUUAUCCGGAAUUAUUGGGCGUAAAGAGCUCGUAGGCGGUUUGUCGCGUCUGCUGUGAAAUCCCGAGGCUCAACCUCGGGUCUGCAGUGGGUACGGGCAGACUAGAGUGCGGUAGGGGAGAUUGGAAUUCCUGGU
rnacentral:rRNA from 1 species